GACGAACGCUGGCGGCGUGCUUAACACAUGCAAGUCGAACGGAAAGGCCCUGCUUUUGUGGGGUGCUCGAGUGGCGAACGGGUGAGUAACACGUGAGUAACCUGCCCUUGACUUUGGGAUAACUUCAGGAAACUGGGGCUAAUACCGGAUAGGAGCUCCUGCUGCAUGGUGGGGGUUGGAAAGUUUCGGCGGUUGGGGAUGGACUCGCGGCUUAUCAGCUUGUUGGUGGGGUAGUGGCUUACCAAGGCUUUGACGGGUAGCCGGCCUGAGAGGGUGACCGGCCAAAUUGGGACUGAGAUAAGGCCCAGACUCCUACGGGAGGCAGAAGUGGGGAAUAGUGCACAAUGGGCGGAAGGCUGAUGCAGCAACGCCGCGUGCGGGAAGACGGGCUUCGGGUUGGAAACCGCUUUCGCCUGUGACGAAGCGUGAGUGACGGUAAUGGGUAAAGAAGCACCGGCUAACUACGUG
rnacentral:rRNA from 1 species